GGGAUUUGGAAUCUCUACUAUUGCGGGACAACAGGAAAGGGUAAGGCAUUAGCUGAUCAGCCAUGAGUUUCAGGAGCAGGGCGAAGAAUGUACAUGUUCAUGCCACUUUAGACCAAGCGGGUUAUGGGUCUAACAGUGUUGACUUUUGUAUUCUGUUUUGCCGCUUAGGUCGGCUAGUAAGAAAGAACUUGUAAUAAGUUUGUAAAUAUUUUUGGGAUCCCAACUAUUUUGAAAAGUUUAAAUAUAUUACAAGUUUAUUUUCA